AUUGAACGCUGGCGGCAGGCUUAACACAUGCAAGUCGAGCGGGGAAGGGUAGCUUGCUACCUAACCUAGCGGCGGACGGGUGAGUAAUGCUUAGGAAUCUGCCAUUUAGUGGGGGACAACAUUCCGAAAGGAAUGCUAAUACCGCAUACGUCCUACGGGAGUAAGCAGGGGAUCUUCGUGACUUGCGCUAAAUGAUGAGCCUAAGUCGGAUUAGCUAGUUGGUGGGGUAAAGGCCUACCAAGGCGACGAUCUGUAGCGGGUCUGAGAGGAUGAUCCGCCACACUGGGACUGAGACACGGCCCAGACUCCUACGGGAGGCAGCAGUGGGGAAUAUUGGACAAUGGGCGGAAGCCUGAUCCAGCCAUGCCGCGUGUGUGAAGAAGGCCUUAUGGUUGUAAAGCACUUUAAGCGAGGAGGAGGCUACUUAGAUUAAUACUCUAGGAUAGUGGACGUUACUCGCAGAAUAAGCACCGGCUAACUCUGUGCCAGCAGCCGCAGUAAUAC
rnacentral:rRNA from 1 species